AGUGAAGCGGCAACAGCUCAAAUUUGAAAUCUGGCCCCCGCGGGCCCGAGUUGUAAUUUGCAGAGGAUGCUUUUGGCGCGGCGCCUUCCGAGUGCCCUGGAACGGGACGCCAUAGAGGGUGAGAGCCCCGUCUGGUCGGACGCCCAGCCUCUGUAAAGCUCCUUCGACGAGUCGAGUAGUUUGGGAAUGCUGCUCUAAACGGGAGGUAUAUGUCUUCUAAAGCUAAAUACCGGCCAGAGACCGAUAGCGCACAAGUAGAGUGAUCGAAAGAUGAAAAGCACUUUGAAAAGAGGGUUAAACAGUACGUGAAAUUGUUGAAAGGGAAGCGCUUGUGACCAGACUCGGGCGCGGCGAAUCACCCGGCGUUCUCGCCGGUGCACUUCGACGCGCCCGGGCCAGCAUCAGCUCGCCGCGGGGGACAAAGGCGCCGGGAACGUGGCUCCCCAGGGAGUGUUAUAGCCCGGCGCGCAACGCCCCGCGGCGGACUGAGGUUCGCGCGUCCGCAAGGAUGCUGGCGUAAUGGUCACCAGUGACCCGUCUUGAAACACGGACCAAGGAGUCGUCCUCGUAUGCGAGUGUUCGGGUGUCAAACCCCUACGCGCAAUGAAAGUGAACGCGGGUGAGAGCCUCGCGGCGCAUCAUCGACCGAUCCUGAUGUUCUCGGAUGGAUUUGAGUAGGAGCAUACGGGGCCGGACCCGAAAGAAGGUGAACUAUGCCUGUGUAGGGUGAAGCCAGAGGAAACUCUGGUGGAGGCUCGCAGCGGUUCUGACGUGCAAAUCGAUCGUC
rnacentral:rRNA from 1 species